CAGGCCUCCCUCUGCUUGGUUCCAGUCGUGGGCAUGAGUGAGGGGCGAUGCUUGAUGGCUUUGAUGUCAUUGGUGGGAAUGUGUUUAAGCAUCGGCCUUCCCUCAUGCCCACGAUGGUCUACAGUCUUGGGUAUGAGUCAGUGAUGAUGCUUGUUUGUUUUGAUGCUUGUGUUUGAACUUGCUUGAGCAACCGACCCGACGAAGUUCCCAUGAAUGUCGCCCACGAUGGUCUACAGUCUUGUGUAUGAGUUAGUGACGAUGCUUGUUUGUUUUGAUGCUUGCGUUUGAACUUGCUUGAGCAACCGACCUGACGAAGUACCCAUGAAUGUCGCCCACGAUGGUUUACAGUCUUGGGUAUGAGUCAGUGACGAUGCUUGUUUGUUUUGAUGCUUGCGUUUUAACUUGCUUGAGCAACCGACCUGACGAAGUACCCAUGAAUGUCGCCCACGAUGGUCUACAGUCUUAGGUAUGAGUCAGUGACGAUGCUUGUUUGUUUUGAUGCUUGCGUUUGAACUUGCUUAAGCAACCGACCUGAUGAAGUACUCAUGAAUGUUGCCCACGAUGGUCUACAGUCUUGGGUAUGAGUCAGUGAUGAUGCUUGUUUGUUUUGAUGCUUGCGUUUGAACUUGCUUAAGCAACCGACCUGACGAAGUACCCAUGAAUGUAACGGUGUUAUGUGCUUGAUGUCCAAAGCUUGAUGCUGAUCCUCCAAGUGGGGCUUGUCCCUGCACCAAUGGCUUUUGCCAGGAUCAUGGCGUUUGCUGUGAUCGAAAAAAUGAGGGGGUGAUGUUGAGAGCCGGAAGGCAAGGGGGUGCAAACACCAGUCGGCCUUUGUCCCGAUUGCUGAGUGUUAUGUGCUUGAUGUCCAAGGCUUGAUGCUGACCCUCCAAGUGGGGCUUUUUUGUUCCUGCGGUAACGACUUUGUUGGGAUCAUUGUGAUCAAGUUUGGUUGGUUUCGUAAUGUGGUGGGUUUUUUUGAAGCUUCUAUCGUUCUUUUACGCAUCGUGCGGUGCAUCUUGGGGGCUGUUUUGGCUUUUGGUUGCUUGCUUGGGCUUUAUGCUAGGCGGGUGGCUAAU
rnacentral:misc_RNA from 1 species